rnacentral:rRNA from 1 species
UGAGGAAUAUUGGACAAUGGGCGCAAGCCUGAUCCAGCCAUGCCGCGUGCAGGAAGAAGCAUCUAUGGUGUGUAAACUGCUUUUGUACGGGAAGAAACACUCCUUCGUGAAGGAGCUUGACGGUACCGUAAGAAUAAGGAUCGGCUAACUCCGUGCCAGCAGCCGCGGUAAUACGGAGGAUCCAAGCGUUAUCCGGAAUCAUUGGGUUCAAAGGGUCCGUAGGCGGUUUAGUAAGUCAGUGGUGAAAGCCCAUCGCUCAACGAUGGAACGGCCAUUGAUACUGCUAGACUUGAAUUGUUAGGAAGUAACUAGAGUAUGUAGUGUAGCGGUGAAAUGCUUAGAUAUUACAUGGAAUACCACUUGCGAAGGCAGGUUACUACUUGUGGAUUGACGCUGAUGGACGAAAGCGUGGGGAGCGAACA